CUACUAUGAUGAAAUCAGGAACUCUCUCUCUCUGAGAUUUCAGUGGAGAAAACCUCAUCAGUUCUGAGUAGC